CCCGGUUCCGGGUGUCCCUGCCCCGGCGGCGGCGGCGGAGCGGGGGGGGAAAGAUGGCGGCGGAGCUGGAGGCCGAGGUGCCGGCCAUUGACAAGAGCCUGCUGGAGUGCUCCGCUGAGGACACUGCUGUGAAAUGGCUGCAAGCAAAUGACCUUCAGAAAGAAGUAUACCAGCAUCUGGCCUACUAUGUACCAAAAAUUUACUGCAGGGGGCCUAACCCUGCCCCACAAAAGGAAGACAUGCUGGCACAACACGUUCUGCUGGGACCAAUGGAGUGGUACCUCUGUGGUGAAGAUCCUGCAUUUGGUUUUCCAAAGCUUGAGCAAGCGAACAAACCUUCCCAUCUCUGUGGCCGUGUUUUUAAAGUGGGAGAGCCUACGUAUUCUUGCAGGGACUGUGCAGUUGACCCAACUUGUGUGCUAUGCAUGGAGUGCUUUCUUGGAAGUAUUCACAGAGAACACCGAUACAGGAUGACAACAUCAGGUGGAGGAGGUUUCUGUGACUGUGGUGAUACAGAAGCUUGGAAAGAAGGUCCUUACUGUCAAAAGCAUGAAAUUAACACUUCGGAGACUGCAGAAGAAGAGGACCCUCUUGUGCACUUACCAGAAGAUAUGGUAGCAAGAGCUUAUAAUAUUUUUGCCAUCACAUUUAAAUAUGCAGUAGAUAUAUUAACAUGGGAAAAGGAAAACGAAUUGCCUGGCCUAGAUAUGCUUGAGAAGAGUGACACUUACUACUGCAUGCUGUUCAAUGAUGAAGUCCAUACCUAUGAACAAGUUAUUUAUACUCUUCAGAAGGCUGUCAACUGCACGCAGAAGGAAGCUAUUGGUUUUGCAACAACAGUAGAUAGAGAUGGACGUAGGUCUGUUCGGUACGGAGACUUUCAGUACUGCGAUCAAGCAAAAUCAGUCAUAGUGAGAAAUACCAGUCGUCAGACAAAGCCAUUGAAAGUACAAGUUAUGCAUUCGUCUAUUGUUGCCCAUCAGAGCUUUGGUCUGAAGCUCCUAACGUGGCUUGGCAGUGUUAUUGGAUAUUCAGAUGGCCUUCGUCGAAUACUGUGUCAGGUUGGUUUACAAGAGGGGCCGGAUGGUGAAAAUUCUUCUCUUGUGGAUAAGCUGAUGCUGUAUGAUUCCAAGCUGUGGAAAGGAGCAAGAAAUGUGUAUCACCAGUUGUUCAUGAGCAGCCUGCUUAUGGAUUUGAAAUACAAGAAACUUUUUGCUAUUCGCUUUGCAAGAAAUUACCGGCAGUUGCAGAGAGAUUAUAUGGAGGAUGAUCACGAACGGGCAGUAUCGGUGGCUGCUCUGUCUGUCCAACUCUUCACUGUACCUACUCUGAACUAUGAGCGAUUGCAGAGUGAUUUUAUGAAAGAUGACCACGACAGAGAGUUCUCAAUUGCUGACCUCUCGAUACAGAUAUUCACAGUGCCUUCUCUUGCUCGAAUGUUAAUAACAGAAGAAAAUCUCAUGACCACUAUCAUCAAAACCUUUAUGGACCACUUAAGGCACCGUGACAUCCAAGGCAGGUUUCAGUUUGAACGUUACACUGCUCUGCAGGCUUUCAAAUUCAGGCGUGUUCAGAGCCUUAUUUUGGAUCUCAAGUAUGUGUUGAUAAGUAAGCCAACCGAGUGGUCGGAUGACUUGAGGCAGAAGUUCCUGGAGGGUUUUGAUGCCUUCUUAGAAUUACUCAAGUGUAUGCAGGGUAUGGAUCCCAUAACUCGUCAAGUAGGACAGCACAUAGAAAUGGAACCAGAAUGGGAAGCGGCGUUUACGUUGCAAAUGAAAUUAACACUUGUUAUUUCAAUGAUGCAGGACUGGUGUGCAUUAGAUGAAAAAGUGUUAAUUGAAGCUUACAAGAAAUGCCUGAAUGUGUUGAUGCAGUGUCACAGUGGUUUUACUGAUGGAGAACAGCCUAUUGUCCUCAGUAUGUGUGGACAUUCAGUGGAGACCAUCAGAUACUGUGUUUCUCAGGAAAAAGUUAGCAUUCAUCUCCCAGUUUCUCGUUUACUUGCAGGCUUGCAUGUUUUGCUGAGUAAAACUGAAGUGGCAUAUAAGUUUCCAGAGCUACUACCCCUGAGUGAACUUAGCCCACCUAUGCUAAUAGAACAUCCUCUACGAUGCCUGGUCCUUUGUGCUCAAGUGCAUGCAGGGAUGUGGAGGAGAAAUGGGUUCUCUCUUGUUAAUCAGAUUUAUUACUAUCAUAAUGUGAAGUGCAGGAGGGAGAUGUUUGACAAGGACAUAGUAAUGCUUCAGACAGGUGUGUCCAUGAUGGAUCCAAAUCACUUCUUGAUGAUCAUGCUGAGUCGCUUUGAGCUUUAUCAGAUAUUUAGUACUCCAGACUAUGGCAAAAGAUUUAGCUCAGAAAAUACGAACAAGGAUGUUGUUCAACAGAAUAACACUCUUAUAGAAGAGAUGCUGUAUCUCAUUAUAAUGAUUGUUGGAGAAAGAUUCAGUCCUGGAAUAGGACAGGUAAAUGCAACAGAUGAAAUCAAACGAGAGAUUAUCCAUCAACUGAGCAUUAGGCCAAUGGCUCACAGUGAAUUGGUGAAGGCAUUACCUGAAGAUGAGAACAGAGAGACGGGAAUGGAAAAUGUGAUUGAAGAAGUGGCAUGUUUCAAGAAGCCUGGGUUAACAGGCAGAGGGCUGUAUGAAUUAAAACCAGAAUGUGCCAGGAACUUCAAUCUGUAUUUCUAUCACUUCUCAAGGGCAGAGCAAUCAAAGGCUGAGGAAGCACAACGGAAGUUAAGAAGACAGAACAGAGAAGAUACAGCACUUCCCCCACCAGCUCUUCCUGCUUUCUGCCCACUUUUUGCAAGUCUGGUGAAUAUUCUGCAAUCUGAUGUCAUGCUGUGUAUUAUGGGAACUAUACUGCAGUGGGCAGUAGAACAUAAUGGCUAUGCCUGGUCAGAGUCCAUGCUGCAAAGGGUUUUGCACUUGAUUGGAAUGGCACUACAAGAAGAAAAACAACAUCUAGAGAAUGCCACUGAGGAGAAUGUUGUAACAUUUACCUUCACUCAGAAAAUAUCACGACCAGGAGAGGCACCAAGUAAUUCCCCUAGUAUACUUGCUAUGCUAGAAACACUGCAAAAUGCACCUCAUCUGGAAGUGCAUAAGGACAUGAUCAGAUGGAUAUUGAAGACUUUUAAUACUAUCAAGAAACUAAGAGAAAGCUCUUCUACGAGUCCUGUGGCUGAGACAGAAGGCAAUAUAAUGGAGGAGAGCUCACGCGACAAAGACAAAGCUGAAAGGAAGAGGAAAGCUGAGAUUGCCAGAUUGCGCAGGGAGAAGAUCAUGGCCCAGAUGUCUGAGAUGCAGCGGCACUUCAUUAAUGAAAACAAGGAACUCUUUCAGCAGACAUUGGAAGAGCUCGAUACCUCAACCUCUGGGGUACAUGAGAAUAGCCCUGUGAUUUCGGAUGCCAAACUCACAGCCUUGGGACCAGAGCAAACUAGAGUAGCUGAACAGAGACAGGUUGUGAUGUGUAUAUUGUGUCAGGAGGAGCAAGAAGUUAAAGUGGACAGCAGGGCUAUGGUCUUGGCAGCAUUUAUUCAGCGGUCAACUGUGUUGUCUAAAAACAGAAGCAAAAGUACUCCAGACCCUGAAAAGUAUGACCCAUUAUUCAUGCAUCCAGAUCUGUCGUGUGGAACACACACGGGGAGCUGUGGACAUAUUAUGCAUGCUCAUUGUUGGCAAAGGUAUUUUGAUGCUGUCCAAGCAAAAGAGCAACGAAGACAACAAAGGUUACGAGUACACACAAGUUACGAUGUAGAAAACGGUGAAUUCCUUUGCCCACUUUGUGAAUGCUUAAGCAACACCGUUAUUCCUCUGCUUCCUCCACCGAGGGUUUUGUUUAACAGGUUAAACUUUGCAAGCCAACCAAACCUAACUCAGUGGAUCAAAACAGUAUCCCAGCAAAUAAAAGCGCUGCAUUUACUUCGAGAUGAAGAUGGUGCAGGCAAUUCUGGCCAUUCAGAAAAAAUGGAUCAGCUGCAAUUACCUGAAGGAUUUAGACCAGAUUUCAAACCCAAGAAUCCUUAUUCUGAGAGCAUAAAGGAGAUGUUAACAACUUUUGGUACAGCAACAUACAAAGUAGGCUUGAAGGUUCAUCCAAAUGAAGAAGAUCCUCGUGUACCUGUAAUGUGUUGGGGAAGCUGUGCUUACACGAUACAGACUAUAGAACGGAUUUUAGCUGAUGAAGAUAAACCAUUGUUUGGUCACUUACCUUGUCGACAGGAUGACUGCCUUAAGUCAUUAACAAGAUUUGCAGCAGCUCACUGGACAGUUUCAUCUCUUUCAGCAGUACAGGGUCACUUUUGUACUCUCUUAGCAUCACUGGUGCCUAAUGAACAAAAUGGAAGUCUUCCUUGCAUACUUGAUAUUGACAUGUUUCACUUACUGGUAAGCUUGGUGCUCUCUUUCCCUGCCAUACACUGUCAGGAAUUUUCAGGGGUUAGUCUUGGCACUGGAGAUCUUCACCUGUUUCAUCUUGUCACGAUGGCACACAUCAUACAGAUUUUACUUACCUCAUCAACAGAAGAGAAUGGCAUGGAUCAAGAAAACACCAACAGUGAAGAGGAAGUAGCUGUGCUUACACUGUAUAAAUUUCUUUGCCAGUGUACAGGAAGUGCCUUGAAAGAAGUUUCCUCAGGCUGGCACCUGUGGAGGAAUCUAAAAGCUGGAAUCAUGCCUUUCCUGAGAUGUUCUGCUUUGUUUUUCCAUUACUUAAAUGGAGUCCCAGCACCCUCAGAAAUUCAAGUCAACGGACCCAACCAGUUUGAACACUUAUGUAGCUAUCUGUCCUUGCCAAACAACCUCACCUGCCUUUUUCAAGAAAACAGUGAGAUUCUGAACACAUUAAUAGAAAGUUGGUGCAGUAACAAUGAAGUGAAAAGGUAUCUGGAAGGCAAGAGACAUGCUAUCAGCUAUGCAAGAGAAUCCAACAAACUAAUAGACCUUCCGGAUGACUACAGCUGCCUCAUUAACCAAGCAUCCAAUUUCUCAUGUCCGAAAUCAGGUGGUGAUAAAAGCAGAGCCCCAACAUUGUGCCUUGUGUGUGGGACCAUGCUGUGUUCUCAGAGUUACUGCUGUCAGACUGAAUUAGAAGGAGAAGAUGUUGGAGCCUGUACUGCACAUACAUAUGCUUGUGGGUCUGGAGUGGGCAUAUUCCUUAGAGUACGAGAAUGUCAGGUGCUAUUUCUAGCUGGAAAAACAAAGGGCUGCUUCUAUCCUCCUCCUUAUCUUGAUGAUUAUGGAGAGACAGAUCAGGGACUCAGACGUGGGAAUCCCUUACAUCUGUGCAAAGAGCGCUUUAAAAAGAUACAGAAACUGUGGCAGCAGCACAGUAUCACAGAGGAGAUUGGACAUGCACAAGAAGCAAACCAGACACUAGUUGGCAUCGACUGGCAGCAUUUAUAAUGGUUCUCUGCUGAAGACUGGAACUUUAUUAAGCUUUUUGUAACUCAGUAAGCUUUUCAGAAGAGGGAUUAGGAAAAAAUGUCUGAGGAGGAAAAAAAACCCAGCCCUGAACCCAGUCCUGUUAUUUAAUCUUCGUUUUACAAUGUAUUUCAUAAAGAUACCAGUUAACAUUAAUCAAGUAAACUUUCUGUGUAAGCAAGUUUUAUUAGUCCUAUAAUUUGCACUGUGCUUCCUUCACAGAAGGGUCUUGGGUUAUAAACCCGGGCACCCAAACUUGAGUUUCUGAUACACACACACAAAAAGAAUGACUCUUUUUGGAAGUCUGACAAUGAUUUUUCCUAUAAACUGCAAGAGAAAAGGACUGCUGAAACAGAAACCAGAUAGAGCACAACUCUGGAUUGUGGUUUGCCCCUUGCUAGUAAUCUGAGCCGUUUUAUUUAUUACUCUGCAUUUUAAUACUUAAGCUGUGUGUACAUGCAAUGGAAUGAAGUAAGGAAGCAAAUAAUGUAGCAAAUGGAUGUUUCUGUCUGCAUCAGUGGAUAAUUCAUUCUUUCACUCGGUGUAUCUGAAAUGAUUUUGCCAUUUGGACUCUUGCAGCUCUCUUGCUUCCAGACUUAAUGCUUCCGAUCAAUUUUGUAUAUUCAUGGUGUACAGGACCCUUUUUCAAACGUUCAGUACCAGUAUUGAGUGAAGAUGUGAAGUAUGAAAUAAAGAAACUUGGCCAACGUUGAGUUCCUUUCUUAAAACCGGUACAGACUCCUCGUGUCUCCACUGCCUGUUGUAGAUGGAAUCGUUUGUGUGUUGCUGUGUCUCUUCUGAUAGAGACGUGCAGAAGUUGCAGGAUGACAUUAAUGCUUCAUCUCUGCCUUCCCCUACUGAAGCUGGUUGACCUAUCGACAGUUCUCUGUGCAUGGUACCCAUAAAUCCCACUCCUUUGGUGACGUGACAAUUCCUUUGCGGAGAGUCCUGCUUCCUAAGCUGUGUGCCACAGUUUCAGAUAACGUGUAGCUGCAUUGAAGAACUCUUUUCCUGUAAGCAUAACAUUACAAAGGUAACUGAUGGGACUGAUUUCUCUGUGCAGAGCAAAACACUGGCAGCAAGAAGGAUUAUUCCUUGUCUUCCUCUGGGAUCAGAGUCUGCAAGGUUGAGUAGGUUGGUAAAACGAUGACCAUAAGUAACUGCGAAGUACACAAGUUCCCAUUUUUUUGCAAUUUAGUCAUUCUUUACUCGAGACUUCUAUUUUCUGAUUUGUUUUGCAUGUAUUUAUAUUAAUGUAGAAAUAUUUAUAUAUAACAUUGUUUCAGUAUCAGGGAAAUAAUAUCUGUAAUAAAUUGGCUAUAACUUUAA